rnacentral:rRNA from 1 species
GACGUAGGGAGCGAGCGUUGUCCGGAUUCAUUGGGCGUAAAGAGCGCGCAGGCGGCUUGGUAAGUCGGAUGUGAAAACCCGGAGCUCAACUCCGGGCGUGCAUCCGAUACUGCCCGGCUAGAGGUAGGUAGGGGAGAUCGGAAUUCCUGGUGUAGCGGUGGAAUGCGCAGAUAUCAGGAGGAACACCAGUGGCGAAGGCGGAUCUCUGGGCCUUACCUGACGCUCAGGCGCGAAAGUGUGGGGAGCGAACAGG